AUGUAUCCAGUGGCUUGGGCUGUAGUUGAGAAGGAAACAAAAGGAAGUUGGAAGUGGUUUGUUGGGCUGCUUAUCAAAGAUCUGGAUAUCAACAACAAUGGAGCCGGCUGGGUUGUUAUUUCAGAUCAGCAAAAG
rnacentral:rRNA from 1 species